rnacentral:rRNA from 1 species
GACGAACGCUGGCGGCGUGCUUAACACAUGCAAGUCGAACGGAAAGGCCCUGCUUGCAGGGUACUCGAGUGGCGAACGGGUGAGUAACACGUGGGUGAUCUGCCCUGCACUUCGGGAUAAGCUUGGGAAACUGGGUCUAAUACCGGAUAGGAGCCAUCUUUAGUGUGGUGGUUGGAAAGUUUUUUCGGUGUAGGAUGAGCUCGCGGCCUAUCAGCUUGUUGGUGGGGUAAUGGCCUACCAAGGCGGCGACGGGUAGCCGGCCUGAGAGGGUGUACGGCCACAUUGGGGGUGUGAGACGGCGCCGACACCUACGGGGGGCAGCAGUGUGGAGUAUUGCACAAUGUGCGCGAGACUGAUGCACAGACGCCGCGUGGGGGAUGAAGGGCUUCGGGUUGUAAACUCCUUUCGCUAGGGAGGAAGCUUUUUUGUGACGGUACCUAGAUAAGAAGCACCGGCUAACUACGUG